GAUGAACGCUAGCGGCAGGCUUAAUACAUGCAAGUCGAACGGGAUCCGAGGUAGCAAUACUUUGGUGAGAGUGGCGCACGGGUGCGUAACGCGUAUGCAACCUACCUUUUACAGGGGGAUAGCCCAGAGAAAUUUGGAUUAAUACCCCAUGGUAUAAUUAAUUUGCAUGAAUUGAUUAUUAAAGUUCCAACGGUACAAGAUGAGCAUGCGUCCCAUUAGCUAGUUGGUGUGGUAACGGCAUACCAAGGCGACGAUGGGUAGGGGUCCUGAGAGGGAGAUCCCCCACACUGGUACUGAGACACGGACCAGACUCCUACGGGAGGCAGCAGUGAGGAAUAUUGGUCAAUGGUCGGAAGACUGAACCAGCCAUGCCGCGUGCAGGAAGAAGCAUCUAUGGUGUGUAAAACUGCUUUUGUACGGGAAGAAACACUCCUUCGUGAAAGGAGCUUGACGGUACCGUAAGAAUAAAGGAUCGGCUAACUCCGUGCCAGCAG
rnacentral:rRNA from 1 species